AACACAGAGUGAAGGAAAAGUUUGGAUUGUUACUUCGCUCGCUUCAGUCCUCCCGCCUAAAAUGUACUGAUUUUUCCCAGCUCUGCCUAUGUAAAUCACCCCAUUUUUUAUGCAAGGAAGCUGCUUGCCUCUCCCCUUCUCUGCUCCAAGGUAUUCCCAGACCUGGCAGACCCUGAGCUCUGCACUGGUGGUCCCUCAGCACCCUCCUGCUUGUGUGACCCAUGUUCAUUGGACACAAGGGGAGCAUCUCUGGACACACAUAGGCAGUGCUGCCAGUUCAAAGGGGGUCUUGCUGUGAAUUAAAGGGCUUACUAGUAUACCUGCACUGCUUCUCCUCCAUCAUCCCCUCGCUGUCCAUGUGGUCAAUUAAUGUAAGGAAGACAAGAUAAAUCCCACUGAGUAGAUCUGGAGACUUAUUUCUAUUAGAUCAAUCUCUUCCAUGAACAUCGUUGUUAGUUUGU